rnacentral:misc_RNA from 1 species
GAAAUGCGAUAAGUAAUGUGAAUUGCAGAAUUCAGUGAAUCAUCGAAUCUUUGAACGCACCUUGCGCUCCUUGGUAUUCCGAGGAGCAUGCCUGUUUGAGUGUCAUUAAUAUAAUCAACCUUCUCUUGUUUUGAGAAUGGUUUGGAUGUGGGGGGUUUGCUGGCCUCUCUCAAAAGGUUCAGCUCCCCUGAAAUGCAUUAGCAGAACAACCUUUGCUCAUUGGUGUGAUAACUAUCUACGCUUAUGAAUAUGAGGGGCAGUUCAGCUUUCUAACGGUCUUUGGACAAUUCAUCAUUAAUGUGACCUCAAAUCAGGUAGGACUACCCGCUGAACUUAA